GUGCCAGCAGCCGCGGUAAGACGAAGGUGACAAGCGUUGUUCGGUAUUACUGGGCUUAAAGCGUGUGUAGGCGGAACUGUAAGCGUCUUGUGAAAGCCCCCGGCUUAACCGGGGAAUUGCUGGACGAACUGCUGUUCUUGAGGCAAGUAGGGGUGCACGGAACUCUUGGUGGAGCGGUGAAAUGCGUAGAUAUCAAGAGGAACGCCGGUGGAGAAAUCGGUGCACUGGGCUUGUCCUGACGCUGAGACACGAAAGCGUGGGGAGCGAACGGGAUUAGAUACCCCGGUAGUCCACGCCGUAAACGAUGUCUACUAGGUUGUGGAGGUUCUGACACUUUCACGGCCGAAGCAAAAGUGCUAAGUAGACCGCCUGGGGAGUACGGCCGCAAGGCUAAAACUCAAAGGAAUUGACGGGGCUCACACAAGCGGUGGAGCAUGUGGAUUAAUUCGAAGCAACGCGUAGAACCUUACCUGGGUUUGACAUGCUUGUAUGGCCGGCUGGAAACAGUUUGGUCUGCCCUUCGGGUGAAACUUGCACAGGUGCUGCAUUGGCUUGUCGUCAA
rnacentral:rRNA from 1 species